rnacentral:rRNA from 1 species
GAUGAACGCUAGCGGCAGGCCUAAUACAUGCAAGUCGAACGGUGUAGCAAUACACAGUGGCGCACGGGUGCGUAACACGUACGCAACCUACCUUACAUUGGGGGAUAGCCUUUCGAAAAGGAGAUUAAUACCGCAUAAGACAGUAACUGGGCAUCCAGUAGCUGUUAAAGAUUUAUCGAUGUAAGCUGGGCAUGCGUCCAAUUAGUUAGUUGGCGAGGUAAUGGCUCACCAAGACGAUGAUUGGUAGGGGAACUGAGAGGUCAAUCCCCCACACUGGCACUGAGAUACGGGCCAGACUCCUACGGGAGGCAGCAGUAGGGAAUAUUGGGCAAUGGGCGCAAGCCUGACCCAGCCAUGCCGCGUGCAGGAAGAAGGCGUUAUGCGUUGUAAACUGCUUUUAUACAGGAAGAAACGACCCUUGCGAGGGGCAUUGACGGUACUGUAUGAAUAAGCACCGGCUAACUCCGUGCCAGCCGCCGCAGUAAUAC